GUAUUGGUGGUUCAGUGGUAGAAUUCUCGCCUGCCACGCGGGAUACUUGGGUCCGAUUCCCGGCCAAUGCA
rfam:Danio rerio chromosome 4, GRCz11 reference primary assembly.